rnacentral:rRNA from 1 species
AACGUAGGAGACAAACGUUAUCCGGAGUUACUGGGCGUAAAGGGCGUGUAGGCGGUUAGUUAAGUCUGGCGUGAAAGCUCUCGGCUAAACCGGGAGAGGUCGUUGGAUACUGGCUGACUAGAGGACGGUAGAGGCGUGUGGAAUUCACGGUGUAGCAGUGAAAUGCGUAGAUAUCGUGAGGAACACCAGAGGCGAAGGCGGCUACCUGGACAAUUGCUGACGCUCAGGCACGAAAGCGUGGGGAGCAAAAGGG